GUGAACGCUGGCGGUCGGCCUAACACAUGCAAGUCGAACGGCAGCACCGUAAGAGCUUGCUCUUACGGGUGGCGAGUGGCGGACGGGUGAGGAAUACAUCGGAAUCUACUUUUUCGUGGGGGAUAACGUAGGGAAACUUACGCUAAUACCGCAUACGACCUACGGGUGAAAGCAGGGGAUCUUCGGACCUUGCGCGAUUGAAUGAGCCGAUGUCGGAUUAGCUAGUUGGCGGGGUAAAGGCCCACCAAGGCGACGAUCCGUAGCUGGUCUGAGAGGAUGAUCAGCCACACUGGAACUGAGACACGGUCCAGACUCCUACGGGAGGCAGCAGUGGGGAAUAUUGGACAAUGGGCGCAAGCCUGAUCCAGCCAUACCGCGUGGGUGAAGAAGGCCUUCGGGUUGUAAAGCCCUUUUGUUGGGAAAGAAAAGCAGCAGGUUAAUACCGCGCUGUUCUGACGGUACCCAAAGAAUAAGCACCGGCUAACUUCGUG
rnacentral:rRNA from 1 species